AACCAGCAGGGGGCGGACGAUGCGGCUCUAAGCUCGUGGCAGGCUGCGCCAGCAACCCACGAAGAAGAAGAAGCAGUCAGAGGGUGUGGAGCAGCAGUCUCGUCAUGGCAGCCAGAUCUCAGCUGUUUGCCCGUUUCAGAGGACCUGAAGUCUGCCGGCGGCUGCCUUUUACCCAGGAGUCUGAUCAUCUUCAAAUCUGCAACUGUUCUGUUUGCACCGUGGGAUGAGGUAGUAGGUUGUAUAGUUUUAGGGUCAUACCCACUGGGAGAUAACUAUUAAACCUACUGUCUUUCCCAAAGUGCUAAUUACACCUCUCAGUGGAACCUCCAUGUCAUCUGAAGGCCAGUUUUCAGUCAUGGUUGCACAGCAAUACAAUGUUUUAUGGCGGUUGCUCACACAGUGUGAGGUAGUAGAUUGUAUAGUUUUGAGGGUAGUGAUUUUGCCCUGUUUGGAAGAUAACUAUACAAUCUAUUGCCUUCCCUGAGGAGUAGCAUCUCUUCAUUUAUUUAGAGAAUUCAUAUAUUUAUCUUUAAAGAAAGCUUUGGGAACGCCAGAAAACGCAUUGUCAUAUGGAAGUCCUCUGUUGCCCAAUGAACACGUCAAGCUUAAACUGUUAUAUUUAAUACAUUUGUAUAGAAGCAAUAUUUUUUGGAUUAAAUUGUUCAUGAAAGCACUGGAAUGUU